GCUGCAGCCAAGGUCCAAUUAGUUGGACCUUGUAACCCCAAAACGCAACACAGGGCUAACGAAGACAAAGGAACCUUUUUGUGUCUAAGAGGGUGAAUUCAAGCAGGACACUGCUUUCAUUCCCACACUGGAACCACCUAUAUGGCAGAUUAGACGUCCUCAGAAGACCCCUCUUUCAGAACAGGGCGAGGAAACAGACCACUAAGAGAAAGGACACUGGCAUUGUGGGGACAAUCAGACAGUUACACCUCCGUAACCGAAGAAGUGCCGUCAUCAGAGAAGAAGGCGAAACAAGUCCAUGAGGUCUGUCUGAAUAAACACAAGUGCUCCUAGUCUGUUGAUCAUGGUCCAUGGCUGGCGACGUAGCUCCACCCAGCCCCUGGACCAAGACAGGUUCUGUCUUCAGUAGGAUCCUGUGGAAGGCUGAUUUGACUUUUUUCCCCCCUGAAUUUAAGGCCUUGAACAGCUCCCUCACUCGUUCCUCUCUGGUCCGGGCAGUGUGAAAGUUUGAAUACACCUCUUCAUGGAUCAUACACUUCUGGAGCAGGUGAUCUACUAUGGGCAUCACCGUGGAAACCCUCUGAAUGAGAUCUGUGCCUGUCCACAAACUGAGAAUCUUCAUUUUCCUUUUCAUUCAGUCUCUCUAGAGAGUGUUGCUCCAUUGUUGAGAUAGCCAGCGUUCGUCUCUUCUCUCUUCUGUCUCCCCAUCUUCUCUCUCCUUUUCUGACUCUUCUUCUUUCUCAUUCUCCUCUGUUCUUAAGUAAUAGCCUCCAUAUCUCUGUAUACCCAAUAUCAAUACGAAACCUUUCUUGUCACAGUAAUGUAACACUUUUCACAGUGUGGUGUUGUGGUGCUCAACUUUGACUCUCUGCCUUACAUUUAGCCUCUCUAGAGAAUUGUUGCUCCAUUAUUGGGACAGCCAGGGUUCCUCUCUUCUCUCUCCUUUUCGGACUCCUCUUUUCUCUUCUUUCUCAUUCCACUCCUUAAUUUUUAAGGUUGUGCCCUCCAAAUCUCUGUAUCCCCAGUCUCAAUACAAAACAUUUCUUGUAACAUGAAUGCACUUUUCACAGUGUGGUGUUGUGGCGCUCAACUUUGACUCUCUACCUUACUGUCACUAAGAGCGGGGAGUGUGUGGGAAACCCAUUUGAGCAAACAGGAAACCAGCUAUGCUGGUUGGGUGAGAGAGAGAGGGGGGGGGGGGGGUUGAGAAAGAGUGAGAGACUCCUUCCAAUUUUGUCAAAUGUGUUUAUGUCUAUAUAUGGGUUGCAGCCGAUACCAGGGUUUUUUAUUGGCCCUCCAAUGCGUUGCAUAGCACCACCCCAUUUGAUGCACACACACUCACACAACCAUUCACAUUCCUUCACACUCUUCACACACACUGCUGCUACUCUGUUUAUUAUCUCUGCAUAGUCAUUUUUCAC